UUGAAUCCAUCUCUAGACUUCCUUUCUCUAUAUAUAUGGCAAGACUUACAGGAAUGUUGGAUCAAAAUGUGAUCUUGCUUGCCUUUUCCUCUCUGUUCUUAGGGUUGGUAUGCAAGAUCUCUACGUUUCUGAUCCUUUCUUUUCUUAUUUGGCUUCCUCUCUCACUCGACAUCGGAUCCGAUCUUUUGCGUCGCUCUCAGGUCUCGAGGUAUGCUGCAAGCAUCAAAACGGAGGCAGGAAUAACUUGAAUCCACAUUGAGAAGGAAGAGAGGAAGGCUGAUGGAGGAGGAGAGACUCCCAGGGAUCGGAGAUGGAGCCACCCAAGUGGAUAACAAGGUGCUCCAGUCCUUGCAGAAGAGCUUCCUCCAGGUCCAGAGCAUCCUAGACCAGAACAGGCUACUGAUCAAUGAGAUCAAUCAGAACCAUGAGUCGAAGAUCCCCGAAAACCUGAGCCGCAAUGUCGGGCUCAUCAGAGAGCUCAACAACAACAUCCAACGGGUUGUCGGCCUGUAUGAUGACCUCUCCCUCUCCUUCUCCAAGUCCAUGGAGGCAUCACCCGAGAGAGAUACCAAAAGGAAGCUCAAUCAGAAAAGAGCUAGGCCUGGUCAGUGAGGCAUGCAACUCAAAGCUCCCCCCACUCCCCCUCAUUAUUUUGGAGGAAUGAAACAACUAAAUGCAAUGCUCCACUGAGAAAGAAACAAAUCAUUCAUUAUAGUAGGUCAUCAGUUUGUGAUGUGUAAGAACUGUUUUUUGAUUUGUAUGCCAUGCAUACUCUAGUUGAAUCCAGGCUCCUUUUGUAGAGGCAAUGCCUUGAGGAUGCUAGCAUAUAUGAGGUAGAACAAGUACUACUAAAAACAUCUUGAUCCCGACUCAUCGAUGUAAUUGUUGUGCCAAUCAUCAAUGAUGGGACAGACAAUAGACUCAAAAUUUCUCAUAAAAGAGAAAAGGUAGAGGGGCUUUAGUGGUGGAAGCUUUCUCCAAUAUGCUUAUCUAUCUGUUGAUACUUUUUGCUUUCUUCCACAGAGGAAAAGGCUUCUUUUUGGUGA